UUCCAUUUACAAUGAGCCAGAGCUGUCGGUGUCAUUUUCUGCUUGGUUUCUUCAUUAUGAUGGAAAGGUUCAGGCACAACAGAGAGUGCAUUGUGUCAGUCGUGGCAAGUUACAGUAUUUGGAUGAAGCAUUAUCCAUUCAGAGCUGCCUUAGCUAGAAAAUCACCAGUAAAAUUUAUGAAAGCUUCUUGAACCUGAUUGAUUCACUGCUGUGAUCAUAAAAUGGUGAAUAAAUUGAAGAAUAAAUAAUCAAAAAUCCCAGUUUUGGAUUUCCAAAUUUCUCUUUGUCUUUCAGUAUCAAACAGGGUUGGGGGAGAUGGAAAAGAAAUGUAUUUAUUUUCUGAAAUAUCACAUGAAAUAUGUGUGUGUCUAUGUACAAAGAACUAAUUAAAAUAAUUUUAAAGAACAUUAAAUUAAAAACAUUAAAACUUUUUUGCAAAAGAAAUUAUAUCCAAUUUAAAUUCAGCUAUGGAUCCCAUGUUGCAUUGUAUCUCACUGUAUUUUUUAAAAAGGAAAUUCUUAUAAAAGUACUUUUAAAACUUCAAUUCGUAAAAUUCUUCCCUACUGAUUUUCAUGUUAGCUAGUUCUCUGAAUGUAGUUUAUUUGGGUAUAAUAUUUCUGUGUACAGAGCAUAUUAUGCUGAAUCAAGUGUCUAUCAUUCAUUAAAGCCCCUGUAAUGUAUAAACUAAUCCAUUACUCAAGAAGAAGAGGUCUGCUUCUAUGGGAUUUAUCUUCAUGAAAUAUUUGCUGCCAGAAGAAGAAACAGGUACUUUUAGCCCCAUAAACAGUGGUGCCUCAAGGAAUUUCAGAUAGUUUCCCUUUGGAUGCCAUAUAAUUUAUUCAGCUUUCCCACUAGGUUUAUUUUAACCUACUCUCCACGUUAUCAUCUGGUUUUGAUUACUUACACUAAAAAGAGAGAGAGAAAAUAAGAGAAACUAUCUCCAAUGACUUUGAAUGGUAAACAUGUGAAACUGGCAAUUAAAUAUGUAAUACUGUGGCCAUUAUCU